rnacentral:lncRNA from 1 species
UGUCAGCAAAGUGUAAACACAAGCCAUUUACUAAAAAUUGUUUUACAUAUUACUUACUAUACCAAGCCAUCUUGUAAAUGCAAACUAUUACUCCACUUCAGAGAAUAUCAAAUCAGGUGUUGCCAACUCCCUUUUUCUUAGAGAGUUUCUUUGUUUCUGCACCUUCAUAGUUCUUACAGCCUACCAGGCACAUUUUUAGCAGGUGACCCUUUGAGUAGAGUUUCACCUGCUUUCUUUCUCCCUCUCAGACAAAAAUUAAGUGAAACAGACAGUUUCUAAUUCCAGAAAAUUAUGAUGAAUAAACAAAUUAGAGCGGGUCAAUGAAGUGCUUAUAUACAGUUGUCAAAUGCAUUGAAAAAGUGUAUGAAGACUUUCAGCUCAAUCCUAUUUACAUAAGGAGUGCUGCAACUAGGAAGAAAGGGAGAAGCUAUCUCAUAUCUUUUCAGAUCCCGCUACUUAAGCUGGAAUACACAACACUUGAGCUGGCGAAUGAGGAGAUGAUGCCCCUCCCCACCAGUUUCUCUUAACCGUGGUCUUUAGGAAUUGCUGCACAACAGGAUUUAUUUCCAAAUAAAGUAUCCUGCACCUUAGGUUUCCAUUGGCAUAUUCAGGACUGCAGUUGCCUUUCUCAGAGCUGCUGCACAGCCUCUUCAAAAGGUAAUUGGGCUGGCCGAAUGUGCUCCAAGCCACAUGCCAAUGCAGGGGCUCCAUGUUGUGUAUUCAUUUUCCA